GUUGCCAGGCAACGCUUCUUUUUUUUUCCCGGCGACGUUUUGACUGAAGACCGCAGCUCUUUUCUAUCCUGACUGUUUUAUUACUGCGAAGAGGACGAAUAAUUUAGUCAGAGAGGAAAUGCUUCAGCACAGAGGCGAUGGCGACAGGUCGUCCGACGAGGACCUAGAUGGACACUCCGGGGACGUGGACUUCAAGGAUGACUUCAGAGUGUCGUGUGCGAAGGAGAUGGCUCUGCUAGCUCUGAUGGAGAAGACGGGAUACAACAUGGUGCAGGAGAACGGGCAGAGGAAGUAUGGCGGACCUCCGCCAGGUUGGGAAGGUCCGGCACCACCGCGGGGCUGCGAGGUCUUUGUGGGGAAGAUUCCCCGAGACAUGUUCGAAGACGAGCUGGUGCCGCUGUUCGAGAAGGUCGGGAAGAUCUACGAGUUCCGGCUGAUGAUGGAGUUCAGCGGAGAGAACCGCGGCUACGCCUUCGUCAUGUACACCAACAAAGAAGCAGCCCAGAGAGCAAUCCAGAUGCUGGACAACUGCGAGGUACGACCCGGGAAGUUCAUUGGGGUCUGCGUGAGUCUGGACAACUGCCGCCUCUUCAUUGGCUGCAUCCCCAAAGACAAGAAGAAGGAGGAGAUCAUGGAGGAGAUGAAGAAGGUGACCGACGGCGUGGUGGAUGUUAUCGUGUACCCAGGCACCGUGGAUAAGAGCCGAAACCGAGGCUUCGCCUUCGUCGAGUACGAGUCCCACAAAGCUGCAGCCAUGGCCCGGAGGACGCUCAUACCCGGAACCUUCCAGCUGUGGGGUCACUCCAUCCAGGUGGACUGGGCCGAGCCAGAGAAGGACGUGGACGAGGGGGUGAUGCAGCGCGUCCGAGUUCUCUACGUGCGUAAUCUGAUGAUGGACACUGCUGAGGAGACUCUUCAUCGGGAAUUCUCCAGAUUCAAGCCCGGCUCCGUGGAGCGGGUCAAGAAGCUCACCGACUACGCCUUCAUCCACUACCGCAGCCGCCACGAUGCCAUCGCCGCCAUGAGCCUCAUGAACGGCGCGCAGAUCGACGGCGCCAUCGUAGAGGUGACUCUGGCCAAACCAGCUGGGAUCAAAGACGGGAGCGCCGCUGGGAGGAGGUACAACCCCAGGGGUUACCUGGGAAACACAGCCAUGGGAGGUGCUAGCGAAGGACGGUCCUUGCUCAGAGCCACGCCCCUGCAGACUCGCCUUGGAAACCCCCAUUAUGACAGUGGAGAGGACUCGGGCCGGUGCAUGCUCCCUCUGCUCCCCUGCACCCCCCUGACCCCCAUCAGCCUGCUCGCCCUGAAGCAGAGUCAGAUCGGGUCGGCCGUCAGUCUGCUGGAGUACUACUGCCACAAGAACUGCUGGUCUCCGCCCGAGUACCACCUGUACUCCACCCCUGGACAGGACGGGAAGCUGCUACUGAUCUACAAGGUGGUGUUGCCAUCCACACGAGCCACCUACCUCCCUGAUAAGCUGUGUGUGCUGCUGGACGAUGCCAAGGAGCUGGCAGCUCAGACCACGCUGUGGAACCUGGAUUCAUCCAUCCUGCCUGGAGCUCCCUAUGAUUUGUCCAGCAGUCUCUCACCUCCGCUCACCAUGUCGCCCUCCGACUGCAGUCCCGGCCUCCUGAGGUGCGGGGGCCAGACCUUCACCCCCUGCCUCCCCGCACCAUCUCCUCCACCGCCACCACCACCACCCCUCUCCCCCCUGCCGUCUCUCUCCACCUUCUCCCCCACUGCGUCCCAAGCACAGCGGCUCUACAUUAACUCCCAGUCUCCUUUCUACUGACGGUGAGACAGAUUUACACGCUAACCUGAGGAAAUGCACCACAGGAAAGUCAAACAAACAUUAAAUGGGGACAUCCCCGUCUCUUCUUGGGGCAGCAGUCAGGACGGGUGGGUCGCUGCAGUGCCUCUUGUGGCAGAAAGGAGCAUUACAGAAACCAACACAGAAUCAGGCUCAUAGUUACUGCUUCUUCUUUCCCUUCAGGCCCUGAACAGAUUUUAUUCGUUUCCUGUUGGGAAGAAGAUUUUUUUGAAUAAUAAAACCAUUUUAAUAACUGCAUUUGCUCAGAUUUAGUUUAGAAAAAAAACUUUUGUUGCGCGCUGAUAACUUUUAAGGUCAAGAGAAAAAUAAGUUCUGGUCAAACUUAGAAAAGAGACAGUGGAUGAAAACACAGUAAAACUGGUAGAACAUUAAAACCACUUGGUAUAACAGGGAUCAAAACACAUGUCAGACUCUCAGAGGUGAGGAGCAACUGGUUCUAGACCCAAAACCAGGAGCUCUGCUGUUCUGUUGUUUCCUGUCAGAGGCUGAGCUAAUAAUCUGAGAGCACGACAGCUUAACUGGUUACCAACUCUGAGUUGGUAGGAUGUUCUCCAGAAAGCGGUUCAGAAAUAAUUGAAGAUGAUGUUUUAGUUAAAGGAGGUGCAGCAUGAAGAGAGCCGUCCUUAAACUGUUCCCAGCUGAUGACUUUCCUUCUUGGCAUUGUGUUAACACACACCGCAGCAGAGCGGAAAACUGCUGUGCUUCUAUAGAGGAUGAUGAUGAUCAGGUAAUCUCUUGGGUCUGAUCAGCAGCAGUGUGCUGCUACUCUUCCUCCUUUAUCCUAUGGAAGCAACCAGACUGGAUGCAGGAAGAUCUUUGUCAUCCAGAGAGUGAAGUGCCUGGAAGGAGGAAGAGGCAGAAAGAGUCUUCAUGUGUUUGCUGAUGUUGUCUCUGUUAGAGAAGAAGGAGGGAUGGAGGGUUUCCAGUGAGCUGCUGUCGCCUCUGAUGAACUGAGUUAAUGCAACAGAUUUUACUGACUGUUGUCAGAAGGUCCUCUCGUCUUCCCGUCUUUCUGUCCUCGUCGCCUCAUCAUUCCCCCUCAUAGAGUCCAGAUUGCCCCGACCUCACAACCUUACUGUGAUGUGACCUCCUGCCUACAGAGCUGCUUGCCUGUUUAAGUUACAGCCUUAAUGUUACUGCAUUAAGGUCAUGGUUCAAAUGGAGCAGAGGUGGAGGGAUAAUAAAGCAGCUGUUUUCUCUCUCGAGAGCCAAAAUCAGAUGGCGCUCCUCUGUUUGUAGCUGCCGAAUCUGAGCGAGCCGCUUCUUUCUUCGGCUUCAAAGCAAAACCAAACGUUUUUAGGGUUUUCAAGGCUUCAGUUGUUCAGUAAAAAGGCUUAAAAUGAGCUGAUUUUUUCCUAAAGUAAAUCACUCUCUCCAUGCUGACCUCAUAUAGUAAACUUUAAAUGUCAGACUGACCUCAAACAGGAAAAAGACCUUUAAAUCCGUUUAGGGCACCAACGCUUUUUUUCCCUGCAGACCUAUGAUGGGAAUAACCUGUCCUCAGAUUAGCGGACAUGGCUACAGCUUUCCAAAAGACAAUUCCAUCGAAACAUUCAGGAAAAGCACCGGAAAAGCUGUUUUAGUCACUAAUAAUGAAUUAAUAAGAAGAAUAAAAAUAACAUGGCUGUGAAAUUAAGUCUGAAUUACACUAAUAAGUAAAUAUGAACAUAUAAUUGAGGUGAUGCAUAAUAUAGAGUUAAUAAUUUAUUUAUUUAGUUUAUCAAACCACAUUUGGACCAGUUUCCUUUUAUUCUUACAUUUUAUGUUUAUUUAUUUUAAAAUACUUUUAUUUUAAUGUUUUAAGUUUCAUUAGUUUUUUUUGAAGGAGUGUUUUAUUUUGAAAUUUUAGAUUUAUGUUUUAGUGACUUUUAUUUCUAUAUUACCUUGACUUUUUUCCUUGGGCCCUUUCACUUUCAAAGUUUAUACUUUUUCCUAAAUACUUUUAUUUUGAAAGUACAUUAUUUAUAUAAUAUUUGACAUUUUUCACAUUUGUUUAUUUUAGGUGACUUUUAUGCCUAAAGUUCCGGUUUAUUUAUGUUUAGAGACAAACAUUUAAUAUUUCUGAUUUAGUUUAUCAAUGGGAAUUUUAUGUAACAAGAUAAUUUACUUUAAACCUUUUUUCUAAAAUCCAUUUCCACGAACUUUAAAUUUAAAUUUCAUUUCCAUUUACUUCAGCUAAUUUCACAUAUUUAUUUAUUUAUUUCAAGAAAUUUAAAUUUGAUAUUAAUUUAGUUUUAGGAGAAUUUCAUUUCGUACCUGUUAAUUGUUUCAGGAGUUAAACUUAAGGUUUUUCAAGAUAAUCUUUUUUCCAACAUAAGUUUUAUAAUAAUAAUUCCAACAAAUUAGUUUGACUUUAUGGAAUAAAAGUCUCCUGAAAUGAAAAAAUAAAAUAAAGGCACCUUUAUUUACCUUUGCUGCCGUAUGAUUAUGUUUGUAUUUACUUCAGAAUUUAUUUCAAGUCAUUUUUCUGUAUGUUUCAGACUAUUGUCUAAAUGGCUUUCCGUACAGAGCUUAGAGUGAUUUGGUGAUCAGUUUGUUUACCGCCAGAUUUCAGGACGUUUCUUCAUUUGUGACGGAGACACUUUCAAUAUUUUCAGUAAUAAAUAAGGAGGAAGGAGUAAUAACUGACAUUAAUGAGAGGAGGUGAUGAUGAGGAGCAUUUUCUUCAUCAGAGGUGGAGAGCGAGGAAGACGAGAGGACCAUCUGUACGAGCCUUAAACAGGUUUUAUUCAGAGCAAACAGACGAGCUUCCAGGAGAAAAUGUUUCUGUUUGACUCUGAAAGUGGUUUAUUGAUCUGUUUAUAUCAGAGCUGCACUUUUAUUGUUUGUGUUUAUUGAUCUGUUUAUUCUGAGCAGCUCGGAAAACGUUUCUAAUUUCCUGACAAAUGCAGUCAAUAUUCAUGUUUUCUAACAUAUUUCACUUCCGUUUGUUUCUUGUACUGAAGUUCAGUCGCAGUUUGUUUCACUUUGUUCUGUUGAGGUUGGAAAUUAUUUAGAGUUUUAAUCUGCAGCUAAACAAGCAUUUUGAAUCUGCUGCUUCAGGUCGUAGGGUCAAACCCCGCUCCCGUCUCCUGGCGCACUGAAUGACCUUCAUCAAAUAUCUGCCGUUUUUCAUCUGACAUCAAAUCGGUUUAAAUAUCAGAACAAUCGGAACCCAAGCAGAGAAAUGAAACGGUGAAAAAAGGGAAACCAUCAAUCAGGAGCGCAGCUGUGAAGCGUGAAAAGUCUGUGCAAAGGAAAUGAGUUGUUUAGUGUAUCAAUGUUGAAGCGAUUGAUCUCUGUGGUCCGGCCAGAACCGAGACGUUUGGCCAGAACCGACACGUUUGUCUUUAAUGUCAGACAAUGAAACUCUCAGUUGUUUAAACCAAACUCAUCUGUUGACUGCUGGCUUUUAACUGAAUAUUUCAACACCUCCACCUGAGGGGUCGCUCCACUGCUACUUAGCUUCGUGUCUGGCAGCCAUGCUGUGUUAAAUGUGAUGUAAAAUAAAGUUGACCUUGACAUUUA